rnacentral:rRNA from 1 species
GAUGAACGCUGGCGGCGUGCCUAAUACAUGCAAGUCGAGCGAACAGACGAGGAGCUUGCUCCUCUGACGUUAGCGGCGGACGGGUGAUUAACACGUGGAUAACCUACCUAUAAGACUGGGAUAACUUCGGGAAACCGGAUCUAAUACCGGAUAAUAUAUUGAACCGCAUGGUUCAAUAGUGAAAGCCGUUUUUGCUGUCACUUAUAGAUGGAUCCUCGCCGCAUUAGCUAGUUGGUAAGGUAACGGCUUACCAAGGCAACGAUGCGUAGCCGACCUGAGAGGGUGAUCGGCCACACUGGAACUGAGACACGGUCCAGACUCCUACGGGAGGCAGCAGUAGGGAAUCUUCCGCAAUGGGCGAAAGCUUGACGGAGCAACGCCGCGUGAGUGAUGAAGGUCUUCGGAUCGUAAAACUCUGUUAGUAGGGAAGAACAAAUGUGUAAGUAACUAUGCACGUCUUGACGGUACCUAAUCAGAAAGCCACGGCUAACUACGUG